UUUUCCGUUUCCGCUGGAUCGAAAUGACCAAGGGAACAUCCAGCUUUGGUAAACGUCACAACAAAACCCACACAGCCUGUCGGCGGUGUGGGAGACGUGCCUACCAUAUCCAGAAGAAGACGUGCGCAUCAUGUGCUUAUCCUAGCCCCAAGAGGAGGCACUGUAAGUAACACAAUCCAAGAAUUGAUUGAGUUGUGUCACAAAAUGAUGGUGUAAAUACAAAGAUGUUUCUUGAAAGAUGACUCUCUUAGUGUUGAAUGGAGUGAGAAAGCUAAAAGGAGGAGGACUACUGGAACAGGAAGAAUGAGGUACCUCAAAACAGUACAGAGGAAAUUCAGGAAUGGAUUCCGUGAAGGAACAACCCCCAAACCCAGAAAGCGCACAGCUGCUGCACCCAGUUCUACUGUAGCUACUAAAUAAAUAUAGGGGGGUUUAAAAGUC
rnacentral:misc_RNA from 1 species